CUCUCUCUCUCUCUCUCUCUCGGAGAGGACAUUAAAUUCUUAAAGCAAUACCUGCUUCUUGAAUAGCCUGGGCUUGGUCUCCAUACAGUUUAUGGCUUGGAUGCAAAUUUUUCAUUAAAUAUAGCAACGCCCUGUUUGAAUUCAUAAAACUAUACUUACAGUAAGUUGAUCACCAAAGAAAAUUCUUGUUCAAUAUAAAUUAACCCUGUUUUGGUCCAAAAUGAAAAUUUCCAGUGCCAGUCAUCUGGAUAAGUUUUUGUGUUCUGCAUUGACAUACAGGCAUUGUUGCUUGAUGUUGUUAUGUGCAGGGAAUCCCAACUUUACAAAGAUGCCAGCAGUGUUGUUUGAUGUUGUGUGUUGCUGAUGUUCCUCGAGUAACGAGUUAUUUUGUUGGAAAACAAAACAAUUGUUAGGGUAGUCUAGUCUAUGGUACUGUACUGAACCAGAAAGCUCUCUUCCUGGGGAAACACAUUACUCGUUAAAAAAAAAUACAAUAAAAUAUUCUAAAAAAUGAAGCAUUUAAAUAUUCUUUCUGCUGGAAACUAGUGGCUAAAACUAGUUUAUCCUUCGCAAACUUAUAGCCCUCUAAUUUAACGCGUUCUUUGCUAUUUUGUGUUUGUCUUCAUUUUCAGAUAUAAUCAAGAAAGAUGUCUUUGCUUCUCUCUGUCUCUCUCUCUCACUCAUUUAAUUUGUUGUCUACUUGGAUUUGUGCUUCUGUAGUUGAUUAAACCUAGUUACAUGCUUCUGAACUAAAAUAUUUUGUCUUGUUUGAUGGAGG
rnacentral:misc_RNA from 1 species